rnacentral:rRNA from 1 species
UAAGCGGAGGAAAAGAAACUAACAAGGAUUCCCCUAGUAACUGCGAGUGAAGCGGGAAAAGCUCAAAUUUAAAAUCUGGUGGUCUUUGGCCAUCCGAGUUGUAAUUUAGAGAAGCGUCUUCCGCGCUGGACCGUGCACAAGUCUCCUGGAAUGGAGCGUCAUAGAGGGUGAGAAUCCCGUCUUUGGCAUGGACACACCAGGGCUUUUGUGAUGCGCUCUCGAAGAGUCGAGUUGUUUGGGAAUGCAGCUCAAAAUGGGUGGUGAACUCCAUCUAAAGCUAAAUAUUGGCGAGAGACCGAUAGCGAACAAGUACCGUGAGGGAAAGAUGAAAAGCACUUUGGAAAGAGAGUGAAACAGUACGUGAAAUUGUUGAAAGGGAAACGCUUGAAGUCAGUCACGUCGACCGAGACUCAGCCUUGCCUCGGCUUGGUGUACUUCUCGGCUGACGGGUCAGCAUCAAUUUUGCCCCUUGGAUAAUGGCGAGGGAAAUGUGACACCUUUAUGGUGUGUUAUAGUCUCUCGUCGCAUGCAAGGGUUGGGAUUGAGGAACUCAGCACGCGCCCUUUGGGUGUCGGGGCUUUGCCCACGAUACGUGCUUAGGAUGUUGGCAUAAUGGCUUUAAACGACC